rnacentral:rRNA from 1 species
AGUGAACGCUGGCGGCAGGCCUAACACAUGCAAGUCGAACGGCAGCACAGUAAGAGCUUGCUCUUACGGGUGGCGAGUGGCGGACGGGUGAGGAAUACAUCGGAAUCUACUUUUUCGUGGGGGAUAACGUAGGGAAACUUACGCUAAUACCGCAUACGACCUACGGGUGAAAGCAGGGGAUCUUGGGACCUUGCGCGAUUGAAUGAGCCGAUGUCGGAUUAGCUAGUUGGCGGGGUAAAGGCCCACCAAGGCGACGAUCCGUAGCUGGUCUGAGAGGAUGAUCAGCCACACUGGAACUGAGACACGGUCCAGACUCCUACGGGAGGCAGCAGUGGUGAAUAUUGGACAAUGGGCGCAAGCCUGAUCCAGCCAUACCGCGUGUGUGAAGAAGGCCUUCGGGUUGUAAAGCCCUUUUGUUGGGAAAGAACAGCAGCAGGUUAAUACCCCGCUGCUCUGACGAUACCCAAAGAAUAAGCACCGGCUAACUUCG